GUAGGUGGCGAGCGUUGUCCGGAAUUAUUGGGCGUAAAGCGCGCGCAGGCGGUUCUUUAAGUCUGAUGUGAAAGCCCACGGCUCAACCGUGGAGGGUCAUUGGAAACUGGAGAACUUGAGUACAGAAGAGGAAAGCGGAAUUCCACGUGUAGCGGUGAAAUGCGUAGAGAUGUGGAGGAACACCAGUGGCGAAGGCGGCUUUCUGGUCUGUAACUGACGCUGAGGCGCCGAAAGCGUGGGGAGCAAACAGGAUUAGAUAACCCUGGUAGUCCACGCCGUAAACGAUGAGUGCUAAGUGUAGGGGGGUUUCCGCCCCCCUUAGUGCUGCAGCUAACGCAUUAAGCAUCCGCCUGGGAUACGGCCGCAAGGCUG
rnacentral:rRNA from 1 species